GCCGGGGUGGUGGAAUUGGUAGACACGCACGUUUGAGGGGCGUGUGGGGUGACCCUUACGAGUUCGAGUCUCGUUCCCGGCACCA
rnacentral:tRNA from 1 species